UAUUCUGUUUUUAUUCUGUUUAUAAUGGUUGUCGCUACUCAUGUCCCGUAAUUUAGUUUCUUUUGAUGAACAAAACAAAGAAUUAAAUUAUAAGAAAUAGAAAAAAAAGAAGAAGCAACGGUGAAGGAAAAAAAAUAUCAUUCAUGCUUCAAUGUUUACUAUAGAUGAGAAGAGGGGCGUUCACGAUCUAUUGUAAAAAAAUAAAAUUUUACAUUUUUACUAGGUCUGUUGCACCAGAUCGUGAAUACCCCUAAUGCAAACCACUUUGAAUCAAUGGAAAAUCACUACAUUUUUAACCUAAUACUACGUUUCCACCUACCCUAAAUCCGAGAUUUAGCUUAGUAGAUUUAGCGUAAAUCUCGAGUUUUAUUCUAAAUCUCGGAUUGAAUGUAGGUGAAAAUCUUAGAUUUAGGGAAGCUGAACCCAAAUCUGAGAUUUAGCGAAGUAGAUUUAAAAUAAAUCUCGAGAUUUAUUCUAAAUCUACUUAGCUAAAUCUCGGAUUUAGCGUAGGUGGAAACAUAGUAUAAAGUGGAAGAUUGAAUCAAAUUAGCACACUUUAAAUCAAAGUUGUUCACACAUUGAAAAAAAAUAAAAAAAAGUAAAAUCCGCUGGGGAUCGAACCUGUUACACCUGGGUUAACAAGCUUGUGCUUUACCACUGUGCUAUCUCACUUAUAAAAAUUGGUGUGACAAAUUGUAACUCAAGGGAGGAAAUCCCUCUGGAAGACAGCUUUUUCAAUAAUUUUUUUUUGGAAAAGCGAAAGCAUUUUUUGAAAUUUGUAAAAGUACAUGAUAAUAUUGACAUAAUGAAGUAUUGAUACAAUUUUUUUUUAAAGUAAAACAAAAACAAAAUGGCGGCGCUAGAGCUCUUUAAAGUUGGCGUCUACGGUUUGCGCCGUGCAAUGCCCAGGUCCAGAAAAUAAUUUAUAAUCAAAAAGGAAAUUUUUUUCCAAUAAAAUAUAUUUAUACGCAUUGCAUGAACCUAAAUUUAGCAAAAAAAGUGUAAAAAAAAUUAGAGACCAAAAAAACAAAAUAAACAAAUUCUUAAAAAAUAUAUUUAUUGUAAAAAUUAUAUUGAACGAGUUAACGAGUAAUUUGCAUUUUAUUUCAGGUUGAUAGCUUCAUUAGUUUUUGAGUUACGUUGCACGGCGCGGAAAAAAAUGUCUUUCGAGAAAAAUGAGUUUAAAAUUUUCGUACUGUGGUUGGUUCGGAGCGCAUAGUUUUCGGGACUAUCAAGAGGCUUUUGGUGCUUCAUUUAAGGCUAAGACCACUGAAAAUAGUUUCUUCGGUUGAUAAAUGAAUUUAUUAGGCAAAAAAAAUAAUGCAAAAAAUAAAAAUAUCUAGAGGGAUUUCCCCCUUCCCCCCUUAAGCAUAGGACGAUUUUUAGAAAAUUAUUGAAUAUAUUUUUCACCAUUAAUUCAAUGUAGAACAUAUUAAAAAUUACUAUGCGUUUUUUCUCUGGGUGUAUGGUAAACUACUUCAAAACAUUUACCCCUGUCGUUCGCUUCUCUACAAUUCGCAUAAUACUGGCGUUGGCGGCACAGUUUUAUCUUCAUUUACACCAUGUUGAUGUCACAACAGCCUACUUGCAUGGGGAUUUAAAUGAAACAAUGUUCAUGUUUCAGCCGUACGAAAAAAAACGUAGACUAACGAAAAAAUGCAUACAGAGCACGCUUUUUUUUCGUUUCCUGGAGUCAAAGUCACAUCUCACAGAUAAUAUUCAACCCCGCAAGUGCGCAGGCCAAUCACGCAGAAUAAAUAAAAAAAAGUGUGUGCUGAAAUAGUUUAAAAUAAAGUAGUAAAGGGAACAAAAGGUGUGUCGAUGUUAACAAAAUUAUGGAAAAGGGACACCUUCACCUGUAGAUACUUCACCACUAUCCCCAUAAGGAGAUAACAUCGAAUGUAUGCUAAAAAAUGGAGAAAAUCGGAAUUUAUGUAUAUCGAAAAAGCCAGUUAUUGAACUUCAAAAACAGACAUUCUUCAAGAUCUGUUCAAAGUCCCACCACGAGCAAUAUAUCGUUACCAUUACCAAAAUCUCCAAAUUUAAGUCUUGGAAGAGUUGAUGACCAAUUAAAUAUAGGCAAAUUCCAAAGAUGUCAUCCUAAUGUACCUUAUGGAUGGGUACUUAAUCCCGACCCAAAGAACAAUAAAGGAAUUCUUUAAAGAAGAAGAUAUAAUGUAUUAUUGAAAUUUUUCUGUGUAUUUAAUUUAAUUUUUUAUUUCAUGAUUAAAAUCCAAAAAUUCAAGUUCAAAAUAACAGAUGUUUUUGUUUUUAAUUAAAAAAAAAUUUUCCGCUCCACUUUUUUUUUAAUUUUCGCUCCGCUCCACUUUUUUUGAAUUUCAGGUUUUUAUUCCAAAUU